GACGGAGGAUGCAAGCGUUAUCCGGAAUGAUUGGGCGUAAAGCGUCCGCAGGUGGCAGUUCAAGUCUGCUGUCAAAGACCGGGGCUUAACUUCGGAAAGGCAGUGGAAACUGAACAGCUAGAGUAUGGUAGGGGCAGAGGGAAUUCCUGGUGUAGCGGUGAAAUGCGUAGAGAUCAGGAAGAACAUCGGUGGCGAAGGCGAGUCCCUGGACGAUACCUGACACUGAGGCACGAAAGCCAAGGGAGCAAACAGG
rnacentral:rRNA from 1 species